GCACAAGCGGUGGAGCAUGUGGUUUAAUUCGACGCGACGCGCAGAACCUUACCUAGCCUUGACAUGUGUCUGCAAGCCGCUGAAAGGCGGUCGCCUUCGAGGGUGACACACCGGUGCUGCAUGGCUGUCCUCAGCUCGUGUCGUGAGAUGUUGGGUUAAGUCCCGCAACGAGCGCAACCCCUACGGCCAGUUACACGUGUCUGGCCGGACUGCCCAAUUGGGAGGAAGGUGGGGAUGAUGCCAAGUCCGCAUGGCCCUGACGGCUAGGGCGACACACACGCUACAAUGGCACCGACAACGCGCAGCGACACUGCAAAGUGAAGCGAAUCGCUCAAACGGUGUCUCAGUGCAGAUUGGGGGCUGCAACUCGCCCCCAUGAAGGCGGAGUUGCUAGUAACCGCGUAUCAGCCAUGGCGCGGUGAAUACGUUCCCGGGC
rnacentral:rRNA from 1 species